rnacentral:rRNA from 1 species
GUUGGGAAUCUUGGACAAUGGGGGAAACCCUGAUCCAGCCAUGCCGCGUGAGUGAUGAAGGCCUUCGGGUUGUAAAACUCUUUCGACGGGGACGAUAAUGACGGUACCUGACUAAGAAGCCCCGGCUAACUACGUGCCAGCAGCCGCGGUAAUACGUAGGGGGCAAGCGUUAUCCGGAUUUACUGGGUGUAAAGGGAGCGUAGACGGUGAAGCAAGUCUGAUGUGAAAACCCGGGGCUCAACUCCGGGAUUGCAUUGGAAACUGUUUUACUUGAGUGCUGGAGGGGCAAGCGGAAUUCCUGGUGUAGCGGUGAAAUGCGUAGAUAUCAGGAAGAACACCGGUGGCGAAGGCGGCUUGCUGGACAGUAACUGACGUUGAGGCUCGAAAGCGUGGGGAGCAAACAGGAUUAGAUACCCUUGUAGUCC